UAAUGAUGGUGAGGGAAAUUUCUAAGCAUAACCUUAAAUAUUUCCCAUGCUUGGUAAAUAUUUUUUCCUUCUUUCUUCCUGAAACUCAAAAUCUCUCUUCUCAAACG
rfam:Capsicum annuum cultivar Zunla-1 chromosome 12, whole genome shotgun sequence